UACGUAGGGUGCGAGCGUUAAUCGGAAUUACUGGGCGUAAAGCGUGCGCAGGCGGUUCGUUGUGUCGGUGGUGAAAGCCCCGGGCUUAACCUGGGAAUGGCCAUGGAAACUGGCGAACUGGAGUGUGGCAGAGGGGGGUGGAAUUCCGCGUGUAGCAGUGAAAUGCGUAGAGAUGCGGAGGAACACCGAUGGCGAAGGCAGCCCCCUGGGCUAGCACUGACGCUCAGGCACGAAAGCUAGGGGAGCAAACGGG
rnacentral:rRNA from 1 species